rnacentral:rRNA from 1 species
CACCGCGGUUAUACGAGAGACCCAGGUUGAUAAUUAUCGGCGUAAAGAGUGGUUAAGAUUUUCUAAGACUAAAGCCAAAUGCCCUCAAAGCUGUUAUACGCUCUCGAAGGUAAGAAGCCCGACUACGAAAGUGGCUUUACAGCAUCCGAACCCACGAAAGCUAGGGUA